GGGAAGAUGUAUUCUAUCGCUGCCCGCGUCAGCGGGGAGAGGAAAGUCCGGACAACACAGAGCACCAUACUUCCUAACGGGAAGGUCCCGGGAACGACCGGGAACAGCAAGUGCCACAGAAAACAACCGCCUAAGUCCUGGCAACCGGGACCGGCAAGGGUGAAAACGUGGAGUAAGCGCCCACGCUUCGUUAUGGUGACAUAACGCAGGGGUAAACCUUAUGGGUUGAAAGGCCAAAUAUACCGGGGCUUAAGGGCUGCUCGUCCAAUCCCGGGGGGUAGGCCGAUGGAUCCUGCCGGCGACGGCAGGGCUAGAUAAAUGAUAGAAGCCCGGCAUGCCGGGAGACAGAAUCCGGCUUACAGCAUCUUCCCGGGC
rnacentral:RNase_P_RNA from 1 species